GGUGGCUGAAGUUGAAGUUUUUGACUUUUCAAUAUCACCACCAGCAAUUACUAAAUACGAUCGAAACGUGAUUGCAAUCAGAAAAUAAGUUAAAAUUCAUUCACUGAAUAGUUAUUUUUGUUUAAUAAAAAAAUCUGUUGCGUUAUAUAUGGUUUCUUUAACCGGAAGACGGCUUCUGUCUGUCGAUAAGGUAGAAUCAGAAAGAACUAACUCAGAGUAUUAAAAAAACAAGAAAAAAGCAAUUCCGGCUUAUCAAACGAAUCGAUUCUGUAAAAAUAUCACAAAGUUGACAUUUACUGGAUUGAAGGUCUUUUCUUACUGCCGAAGCGAAUGUUUAUUUCCCUUUCUCAUUUUGAAGAGCACCUGCACUGUCUUGUGCUAUGCGACUAACAGGUCCAAGGUUUUUCUCUAUUUAUAUAGCUAUGAUAUUAUAAUUUCAAAUACCAUGUUGCCUUUUGGAACAGUUUUAUUAAAAGCGUUUUAUCACAAUAUAUUAGCAGAGAAAACUAUAGUAAAUUUCUACGAACAUUUUCAC